rnacentral:rRNA from 1 species
UGGGGAAUUUUGGACAAUGGGGGAAACCCUGAUCCAGCCAUCCCGCGUGUGCGAUGAAGGCCUUCGGGUUGUAAAGCACUUUUGGCAGGCAAGAAACGUCAUGGGUUAAUACCCCGUGAAACUGACGGUACCUGCAGAAUAAGCACCGGCUAACUACGUGCCAGCAGCCGCGGUAAUACGUAGGGUGCAAGCGUUAAUCGGAAUUACUGGGCGUAAAGCGUGCGCAGGCGGUUCGGAAAGAAAGAUGUGAAAUCCCAGAGCUCAACUUUGGAACUGCAUUAUUAACUACCGGGCUAGAGUGUGUCAGAGGGAGGUGGAAUGCCGCGUGUAGCAGUAAAAUGCGAAGAAAUGCGGAGGAACACCGAUGGCGAAGGCAGCCUCCUGAGAUAACACUGACGCUCAUGAACGAAAGCGUGGGGAGCAAACAGG